rnacentral:rRNA from 1 species
CCUACGGGGGGCUGCAGUGGGGAAUAUUGGACAAUGGGGGCAACCCUGAUCCAGCCAUGCCGCGUGUGUGAAGAAGGCCCUCGGGUUGUAAAGCACUUUCAGUGAGGAAGAACGCCUGGUGGUUAAUACCCAUCAGGAAAGACAUCACUCACAGAAGAAGCACCGGCUAACUCCGUGCCAGCAGCCGCGGUAAUACGGAGGGUGCGAGCGUUAAUCGGAAUUACUGGGCGCAAAGCGCGCGUAGGUGGCUUGAUAAGCCGGUUGUGAAAGCCCCGGGCUCAACCUGGGAACGGCAUCCGGAACUGUCAAGCUAGAGUGCAGGAGAGGAAGGUAGAAUUCCCGGUGUAGCGGUGAAAUGCGUAGAGAUCGGGAGGAAUACCAGUGGCGAAGGCGGCCUUCUGGGCUGACACUGACUCUGAGGUGCGAAAGCGUGGGUAGCAAACAGGAUUAGAUACCCUGGUAGUC